AGCUCACUGAUCGAGUCGUCCUGCGCGGAAAGAUGUAACGGGCUAAGCUAUAUACCGAAGCUGCGGAUGCGUGCUUUGCACGCAUGGUAGAGAGCGUUCCGUAAGCCUGCGAAGGUGCGUUGAAAAGCGUGCUGGAGGUAUCGGAAGUGCGAAUGCUGACAUGAGUAGCGAUAAAGGGGUGAAAGGCCCCCUCGCCGUAAGCCCAAGGUUUCCUACGCAACGUUCAUCGGCGUAGGGUGAGUCGGCCCCUAAGGCGAGGCAGAAAUGCGUAGCUGAUGGGAAGCAGGUCAAUAUUCCUGCACCAUUGUUAGAUGCGAUGGGGGACGGAUCGCGGAAGGUUGUCCGGGUGUUGGAAGUCCCGGUCGCUGCAUUGGAGAAGGCGCUUAGGCAAAUCCGGGCGCGGAAUUCAAGGGUGUGGCGCGAGCUCCUUAGGGAGCGAAGCAAUUGGAAGUGGUUCCAAGAAAAGCCUCUAAGCUUCAGUCUAACGAUGACCGUACCGCAAACCGACACAGGUGGGCGAGAUGAGUAUUCUAAGGCGCUUGAGAGAACUCGGGAGAAGGAACUCGGCAAAUUGGUACCGUAACUUCGGGAUAAGGUACGCCCUUGUAGCUUGAUGCGCCUGCGCGCAAAGGGUGAAGGGGUUGCAAUAAACUGGUGGCUGCGACUGUUUAAUAAAAACACAGCACUCUGCAAACACGAAAGUGGACGUAUAGGGUGUGACGCCUGCCCGGUGCCGGAAGAUUAAAUGAUGGGGUGCAAGCUCUUGAUUGAAGUCCCGGUAAACGGCGGCCGUAACUAUAACGGUCCUAAGGUAGCGAAAUUCCUUGUCGGGUAAGUUCCGACCUGCACGAAUGGCGUAACGAUGGCCACACUGUCUCCUCCCGAGACUCAGCGAAGUUGAAGUGUUUGUGAUGAUGCAAUCUACCCGCGGCUAGACGGAAAGACCCCAUGAACCUUUACUGUAGCUUUGCAUUGGACUUUGAACCGAUCUGUGUAGGAUAGGUGGGAGGCUAUGAAACCGGAACGCUAGUUUCGGUGGAGCCGUCCUUGAAAUACCACCCUGGUUUGUUUGAGGUUCUAACCUUGGCCCGUGAUCCGGGUCGGGGACAGUGCAUGGUAGGCAGUUUGACUGGGGCGUCCUCCAAAGCGUAACGGAGGAGUACGAAGGUACGCUAGGUACGGUCGGAAAUCGUGCUGAUAGUGCAAUGGCAUAAGCGUGCUUAACUGCGAGACCGACAAGUCGAGCAGGUGCGAAAGCAGGUCAUAGUGAUCCGGUGGUUCUGUGAAAGGGCCAUCGCUCAACGGAUAAAAGGUACUCUGGGAUAACAGGCUGAUACCGCCAAGAGUUCAUAUCGACGGCGGUGUUUGGCACCUCGAUGUCGGCUCAUCUCAUCCUGGGGCUGUAGCCGGUCCCAAGGGUAUGGCUGUUCGCCAUUUAAAGAGGUACGUGAGCUGGGUUUAAACGUCGUGAGACAGUUUGGUCCCUAUCUGCCGUGGGCGUUGGAUAUUUGAAGGGGGCUGCUCCUAGUACGAGAGGACCGGAGUGGACGAACCUCUGGUGUACCGGUUGUCACGCCAGUGGCAUCGCCGGGUAGCUAUGUUCGGAAGAGAUAACCGCUGAAAGCAUCUAAGCGGGAAACUCGCCUUAAGAUGAGAUAUCCCUGGGGACUAGAUCCCCUUGAAGGGUCGUUCGAGACCAGGACGUUGAUAGGUCAGGUGUGUAAGCGCAGUAAUGCGUUCAGCUAACUGAUACUAAUUGCCCGUAAGGCUUGAUCCU
rnacentral:rRNA from 1 species